rnacentral:rRNA from 1 species
GGCGGCAGGCCUAACACAUGCAAGUCGAGCGGCCGUAGCAAUACGGCAGCGGCAGACGGGAGAGUAACACGUGGGAACGCGCCCUUCGGUUCGGAAUAACUCAGGGAAACUUGAGCUAAUACCGGAUACGCCCUUACGGGGAAAGAUUUAUUGCCGAAGGAACGGCCCGCGUCCGAUUAGCUAGUUGGUGAGGUAACGGCUCACCAAGGCGACGAUCGGUAGCUGGUCUGAGAGGAUGACCAGCCUCAUUGGGACUGAGACACGGCCCAAACUCCUACGGGAGGCAGCAGUGGGGAAUAUUGGACAAUGGGCGCAAGCCUGAUCCAGCCAUGCCGCGUGGAUGAUGAAGGCCCUAGGGUUGUAAAGUCCUUUUAACGGGGAAGAUAAUGACGGUACCCGUAGAAUAAGCCCCGGCUAACUUCGUGCCAGCAGCCGCGGUAAUACGAAGGGGGCUAGCGUUGCUCGGAAUUACUGGGCGUAAAGCGCACGUAGGCGGGUUCUUAAGUCGGUGGUGAAAUCCUGGAGCUCAACUCCAGAACUGCCUUCGAUACUGGGAAUCUUGAAUCCGGGA